rnacentral:rRNA from 5 species
CAAAACUUUCAACAACGGAUCUCUUGGCUCUGGCAUCGAUGAAGAACGCAGCGAAAUGCGAUAAGUAAUGUGAAUUGCAGAAUUCAGUGAAUCAUCGAAUCUUUGAACGCACAUUGCGCCCGCCAGUAUUCUGGCGGGCAUGCCUGUUCGAGC